rnacentral:rRNA from 1 species
UACGUAGGGAGCAAGCGUUGCCCGGAAUCAUUGGGCGUAAAGCGCGCGUAGGCGGCCUCGUAAGUCCGUUGUGAAAGUCAAAGGCUCAACCUUUGAAAGCCGAUGGAUACUGUGAGGCUAGAGUCCGGAAGAGGCGAGUGGAAUUCCUGGUGUAGCGGUGGAAUGCGCAGAUAUCAGGAGGAACACCAAUAGCGAAGGCAGCUCGCUGGGACGGUACUGACGCUAAGGCGCGAAAGCGUGGGGAGCGAACAGG